rnacentral:rRNA from 1 species
GACGAACGCUGGCGGCGUGCUUAACACAUGCAAGUCGAACGGAAAGGCCCUGCUUUUGUGGGGUGCUCGAGUGGCGAACGGGUGAGUAACACGUGAGUAACCUGCCCUUGACUUUGGGAUAACUUCAGGAAACUGGGGCUAAUACCGGAUAGGAGCUCCUGCUGCAUGGUGGGGGUUGGAAAGUUUCGGCGGUUGGGGAUGGACUCGCGGCUUAUCAGCUUGUUGGUGGGGUAGUGGCUUACCAAGGCUUUGACGGGUAGCCGGCCUGAGAGGGUGACCGGCCACAUUGGGACUGAGAUACGGCCCAGACUCCUACGGGAGGCAGCAGUGGGGAAUAUUGCACAAUGGGCGGAAGCCUGAUGCAGCAACGCCGCGUGCGGGAUGACGGCCUUCGGGUUGUAAACCGCUUUCGCCUGUGACGAAGCGUGAGUGGCGGUAAUGGGUCAAGAAGCACCGGCUAACUACGUG